rnacentral:tRNA from 1 species
GAAGGUAUAGCUCAAUGGUAGAGUGCAUGCCUAGCAUGCACAAGGUCCUAGGUUCAAUCCCCAGUGCCUCCA